CGGGACGGGUGAGUAAUGUCUGGGAAACUGCCCGAUGGAGGGGGAUAACUACUGGAAACGGUAGCUAAUACCGCAUAACGUCGCAAGACCAAAGAGGGGGACCUUAGGGCCUCUUGCCAUCGGAUGUGCCCAGAUGGGAUUAGCUAGUAGGUGGGGUAAUGGCUCACCUAGGCGACGAUCCCUAGCUGGUCUGAGAGGAUGAUCAGCCACACUGGGACUGAGACACGGCCCAG
rnacentral:rRNA from 1 species